rnacentral:rRNA from 1 species
AUGGCGCAGUCGGCUGUGAGCACCGUGCUCGGGACCGUGGGCAGUCUUGCAGUCCAGGAGACCACAUUCUUGUGUGCAGUCAACCUUGAAGUGGGGUUGUUGAAAGAUGAACUGAUGAGGCUGAAGGCCUACCUCAAAGAUGUUGAUAGCAAGUGGAGAUCAGGAAAUGCAAGGGUUGCAGUCUUGGUGAGCCAGAUCAGGGAUGCGGCUUAUGAAGCUCAGAACAUCAUUGAAGCUGCAGAUCACAUGGCGAAGAGAAACAGGCUCAAGAAGGGAUUCAUGGGUGCUAUUUCAAGGUAUGCUCGCCUACCGACUGACUUGGUCGCCCUUCGCAAAAUCGGUGUUGAAAUUCAGCAUGUAAGAAGGAAGCUCAAUGAGAUUUUUGCAAGUGCGGAAAAACUGAAUAUUAAUUUGGAUAAUAAUGUUCUAGUUGAGGAUGAGUCUCCACAAGAUGAUGGACCUAUACAUCAAAACUCUGAAGAUGAUGUUGUCAUGGUUGGUUUUGAGGAUGAGCACGAAGAAAUAGUGGACAAGUUAGUUGACAAUGAUUACCUGCUUAGUGUUGUGUCUAUAGUUGCCAUGGGUGGGGCAGGAAAAACAACACUUGCUAGAAAAGUCUACACUUCAUCUAGAGUUAAGGAGCACUUUGACACACUUGCUUGGGUGACUGUAUCUCAAAAGUUCAAGGGUGUUGAUUUACUAAAGGAUAUUAUGAAACAAAUCACAGGGCACAAGGACGAGUCUGUUGACCAAAUGAAAGAGUAUGAGGUGGGAAAGAAUAUUAUGAAACAAAUCACAGGGCACAAGGACGAGUCUGUUGACCAAAUGAAAGAGUAUGAGGUGGGAAAGAAGAUCAAUGAAUUUCUAUCACAAAAAAGGUACCUAGUAGUUCUUGAUGACGUUUGGGAAACAGAUACAUGGGAGAAAUUAAACAGAACGAUUAAAGUCUUUCCAGAUGAAACUAAUAGUAGUAGAGUGCUGUUAACCACACGAAAGGAAGAUGUCGCAAAUCAUGUUCAGAUGCCAACCCAUGUUCAUCAUUUGAAGAAGUUGGAUGAAGAGAAAAGUUGGGAUCUUUUUAGCAGCAAAGCUUUACCACCAUACAAAAGGUAUGCCAUACGUGAUGUGGACGAGUUUGAAAAGCUUGGGAGAAAGCUUGCAAAGAAAUGUGAUGGAUUGCCACUUGCACUUGGAGUUUUGGGAGGUUAUCUGUCUAAAAAUCUAAAUGCACAAAUAUGGUCCGAUAUACUCUCUGAUUGGCCAGCAACCAAGGAUGGACAAAUGAUGAGUGUCAUACUGGCACGCAGUUACAAGGACCUACCGAAUCAUCAUUUGAGAUCUUGUUUACUUUAUUUUGCUGCUUUUCCUGAGGAUUAUGAAAUACAUGUGCCGCAUCUUAUUGAGUUGUGGAUAGCAGAAAGUUUCAUUCCAGAUACACCAAACCAUACACUAGAAGAAACAGCACGGAGCUAUGUAAUCGAGUUGGCUCAGAGAAGCUUGGUCCAAGUUGUUGACAGAAGUACGACACAUGGAUGGAUAGACAGAAUAAGGAUUCACGAUAUCUUGCAUGACUGGUGCAUACAAGAAGCAAGACAAGAUGUUUUUCUUGAUACCAGCAACAAAACUGUAGACCAAGCUGGUGCAUCAUCAUCAUCAUCUGAUAACUUGAUAUCUUAUCGUUUUAGUUUUCAAACUUCGAGUUAUCAGAUUUUACCUGCGACACCUAAUGUCCGAAGUUUGCUUGGCUUUAAACUCUCAUCAGUGUCCCUUCCUAAGCUGAGAUUCCUGAGAGUUCUUUGCAUUGAAGAUUCAACACUAAAAGACUUCUCCAGUGUAAUUGGUAGGUGCAUUCACCUAAGAUUGCUUAGGUUGAGAUAUUGUGAAGGUGUGGCGCUCCCUUCUUCAAUUGGAAAACUCCUUUACUUGCAGACAAUAGAUCUAAGGGGCACAAUAUUGGAGUCAGUAGUACCGAACUCUCUCUGGGAUAUCCCUACUCUAAGGCAUGUUUACCUUCGCAAUUGUUUUUUUUCUCCACCGCCACCUGCAAGGAGUGUGCGACUGCAGCCGAAAGAGCUACAGAGCUUUGCGUUGCUUCUUGAUCCUGUUGGCACUGAUUUCCGCUGUCAUGACAUGAUGAUUUUCUUGGGCCAGCUGAAUCAAUUGACAACCUUCUGCUUGUUUAUGCACCCCAAUAUACCAGCCGAGGUGCUCAACAUAUUUGCAAACAUGCCUCACCUGGUCGAUAUUAGUCUCGGCCAAUUUGAUGUGCUCGAUAAGCUGCCUGCCGAGUUCCCACAAAGCGUACGCUCUCUUUUUCUAUCUGCUGAUGUCAUAAAACAAGACCCGAUGCCCAUCCUGGAGAAGCUUCCCUGUCUUGUGGUGUUGAGGUUGUGGGGGUACAAAGGCCAGACCAUGUGCUGCUCUUCCCAAGGGUUCCCUCGGCUGCAAGAGUUAUUACUUGGUAGUUUUUCCACCGAGGUGUGGAGGAUGGAGGAAGGGGCAAUGCCAAAGCUCUCCCACCUGACACUUCAGUCCUGCAAGAAGAUCAGCAAGCUUCCCGUGGGGUUGCUGCACCUUCCGUCUCUCGAUCACCUGGAGCUGGCCUUUAUGACCCAGAUUUCUGAAGAUGACAUCACACUAAAUGAGCUGCGGCGGAAAGGAUGCGAGGUAUACAUACAUAUACGCAGCUUAGGCAUAGUUAAUUUGCCACACCUUAUGAGCACGCUUUGUUUACUGCAGAUCUGUGGGGCGCGAUGA